GCGCGGCCUAUCAUGCAGUCGAACGUUAAGUGUAGCAAUACACUGAAAGUGGCGAACGGGUGAGUAACACGUAAGUAAUCUGCCUUUAAGAUUGGGAUAACCUUGCCAACGCGGGGCUAAUACCGGAUGUGGUUGACAUGACGCAUGUUGUGUUAAUUAAAGGAGUGAUCCGCUUAAAGAUGAACUUGCGGCCCAUUAGUUAGUUGGCGGGGUAACGGCCCACCAAGACCGCGAUGGGUAGCCGGCCUGAGAGGGUGUACGGCCACAUUGGGACUGAGAUACGGCCCAGACUCCUACGGGAGGCAGCAGUAGGGAAUUUUGCGCAAUGGACGAAAGUCUGACGCAGCAACGCCGCGUGAGGGAUGAAGGUCUUCGGAUUGUAAACCUCUGUUGAAUGGGAAAAAAAGUAGCAAUAUUUGAUGGUACCAUUUGAGGAAGCACCGGCUAACUACGUGCCAGCAGCCGCGGUAAUACGUAGGGUGCAAGCGUUGUUCGGAAUCACUGGGCGUAAAGAGAGCGUAGGCGGGAUUGUAAGUUAGAAGUUUAAUACAAGGGCUCAACCCUUGGCUGGCUUUUAAUACUGCAGUUCUUGAAUGUGGGAGAGGGCGAUGGAAUUCCAGGUGUAGCGGUGGAAUGCGUAGAUAUCUGGAAGAACACCAGUAGCGAAGGCGGUCGCCUGGCCUAACAUUGACGCUGAGGCUCGAAAGCUAGGGGAGCAAACAGGAUUAGAUACCCUGGUAGUCCUAGCCGUAAACGAUGAACACUAGUUGCCGGAGGAGUCAAUCUUUUUGGUGACGAAGCUAACGCAUUAAGUGUU
rnacentral:rRNA from 1 species